CGGCAUAGUCUGAUUUAUUAAUUAUCUUGUUUUGAUUAAUUUUGUUUAGUUGUUUAAGGUUUUAUUGAAAGAUCAUUUUUGUUGUUGUAAUAUUUUGAUUUAAUUUUUUUAACGAUAGUUUAUUUGUUCUGUGAAGGGUCGGAUUUUGGUUAAAGUGUAUAUAAGGAAGUUGAUUUUGUUUGUCGUACCUUGUGUAUCAGGGUUCAUUGAAAUUUAUUAUUUAUUUUUAUUUCCCGAUUUUAGAGGAGUUAAUGGCUUAUGUUGGUUACUGUUUUAUUAGUAUUAACAAUAGGUUGUUGGUAAUGAAAUGUUAUUCGUCUUUAAUGGUUUCUGGUUUUUCAAGAAAUGAAUUCAAUUCAUGCAUCAUAUUUAAUUUCUGUUGUUUAUUUAUUUAUUUUUAUUUGAUGCUAAAAUUAAGGGGGAUUAGCUCCUUGUUUUGUUGUUAUAAUUAUUUUAUAUAAGGUAUAGUUUUGUGGAUUUUAUAGUGAUUUUCGAUUUGAUUAUGUUAAAAUUUUACUUGUUCUUUUAUUUAUUUAUUUUAAUUUAAUUGGUUUAUUGAAGUGUUUUCUUUACUUUGGCUUGCAUAGUAAUUAUUGUGGAAUUAGUAAAUCUUAUUUUUAUGUUGUUGGGUUGUAAUAAAUUGAUGUUAAUUAUUUUUUAGGAAUUCGGCAAAUAUUGUGUCCGCCUGUUUAACAAAAACAUCUUUUCUUGUUAGUUUUUGAAGUAUGGCCUGCCCACUGACUUUUUAGUUAAAGGGCCGCGGUAUUUUGACCGUGCAAAGGUAGCAUAAUCAUUAGUUCUUUAAUUGUGAUCUGGUAUGAAUGGCUUGACGAGACAUUAGCUGUCUUGAGUAUAUUGUCUAUUGAAUUUAGUUUUUGAGUUAAAAUUCUUAGAUGUUUUUAUGGGACGAGAAGACCCUAUAGAGUUUUACAUUUUUCUUAUUGUAUACUAUUUUUGUUUUGUUAAUUUAAUUGGAAUGAGUGUUUUGUUGGGGUGAUGGGAGGAAUUUUUUUAACUCCUCUUUAUUUAGUUGUAUAUUUAUUUAUAUUUGUUUUGAUCCAUUUAUUUUGAUUAUAAGAUUAAAUUACCUUAGGGAUAACAGCGUUAUCUUCCCUGAGAGUUCUUAUUGGCGGGAAGGUUUGCGACCUCGAUGUUGGAUUAAGGUGAAUUUUCGGUGCAGGAGCUGAAUUUGUGAUUAGGUCUGUUCGACCUUUAAAACCUUACAUGAUCUGAGUUCAGACCGGCGUGAGCCAGGUUGGUUUCUAUCUAUAAUAGUGUUUUAUAUCUUAGUACGAGAGGACCGGAUAUUUGGAAUAAUUUUAUUUUAUUUGAUUGUUAUUAAUAUGAUUACUAUUUUGGCAGAUAAGUGCAU
rnacentral:rRNA from 1 species